rnacentral:rRNA from 1 species
CCUGGAGAUCCUACGGGAGGCAGCAGUGGGGAAUUUUGGACAAUGGGCGCAAGCCUGAUCCAGCCAUGCCGCGUGUCUGAAGAAGGCCUUCGGGUUGUAAAGGACUUUUGUCAGGGAAGAAAAGGCUGUUGCUAAUAUCGACAGCUGAUGACGGUACCUGAAGAAUAAGCACCGGCUAACUACGUGCCAGCAGCCGCGGUAAUACGUAGGGUGCGAGCGUUAAUCGGAAUUACUGGGCGUAAAGCGAGCGCAGACGGUUACUUAAGCAAGAUGUGAAAUCCCCGGGCUCAACCUGGGAACUGCGUUCUGAACUGGGUGACUAAGGUGUGUUAGAGGGAGGUAGAAUUCCACGUAUAGCAGUGAAAUGCGUAGAGAUGUGGAGGAAUACCGAUGGCGAAGGCAGCCUCCUGGGAUAACACUGACGCUCAUGCUCGAAAGCGUGGGUAGCAAACAGGAUUAGAAACCCCUGUAGUCCAGAGAA